CACGUAGGGGGCAAGCGUUGUCCGGAUUUAUUAGGCGUAAAGAGCUCGUAGGCGGUUCGGUAAGUCGGGUGUGAAACCUCCAGGCUCAACCUGGAGUCGCCACUCGAUACUGCUGUGACUAGAGUCCGGUAGGGGAGCGUGGAAUUCCUGGUGUAGCGGUGAAAUGCGCAGAUAUCAGGAGGAACACCAGCGGCGAAGGCGGCGCUCUGGGCCGGAACUGACGCUGAGGAGCGAAAGCGUGGGUAGCAAACAGG
rnacentral:rRNA from 1 species